rnacentral:rRNA from 1 species
UACGUAGGUGGCAAGCGUUGUCCGGAAUUAUUGGGCGUAAAGCGCGCGCAGGCGGUCCUUUAAGUCUGAUGUGAAAGCCCACGGCUCAACCGUGGAGGGUCAUUGGAAACUGGGGGACUUGAGUGCAGGAGAGAAGAGUGGAAUUCCACGUGUAGCGGUGAAAUGCGUAGAGAUGUGGAGGAACACCAGUGGCGAAGGCGACUCUCUGGACAUUUCCUGACGCUGAGGCACGAAAGCCAGGGGAGCAAACGGG